rnacentral:rRNA from 1 species
UUGGAGGGCAAGUCUGGUGCCAGCAGCCGCGGUAAUUCCAGCUCCAAUAGCGUAUAUCAAAGUUGUUGCAGUUAAAAAGCUCGUAGUUGAAUUUCGGGAUCAGUACGUUGGUCGUGCCUUAGGUACGUACUGGUGUUACUGGUUCCUACCUUCUGACGAACCAUCAUGUCAUUCAUUUGGUGUGGCGGGGAAUCAGGACUGUUACUUUGAAAAAAUUAGAGUGUUUAAAGCAGGCUCGCGCUUGAAUACAUUAGCAUGGAAUAAUGAAAUAGGACGUUGAUCCUAUUUUGUUGGUUUCUAGGAUUGACGUAAUGAUUAAUAGGGAUAGUUGGGGGCAUUAGUAUUCAAUUGUCAGAGGUGAAAUUCUUGGAUUUAUUGAAGACUAACUACUGCGAAAGCAUUUGCCAAGGAUGUUUUCAUUAAUCAAGAACGAAAGUUAGGGGAUCGAAGACGAUCAGAUACCGUCGUAGUCUUAACCAUAAACUAUGCCGACUAGGGAUCGGAUGAUGUUAUUUUUAAUGACUCAUUCGGCGCCUUACGGGAAAC